UAUAAAACAUUUAUUGUAAAUGGUAAGCAUGGAUUAUCAAAACACUAAAGCUAAGAAUAACCCAUCAUACUGAAUGACAACUAAUCUUCAUCGUCGCCGCAUCCGGAUCAAAAACAAAUAGAUCUAGAAAUCGGAUCGAUUAUCUUCUCUCGUUUUGGAUUUGUAUUUUCGUGAUACAAAUCAAAGUUCAAAUUACUUCGACUCCUAAAUUGAUGAUGGAUAUUAAAGGUGAGGGAGAUAGUGGAGGUUCUAGUUGUUGAGAUAGUGGUGGAGAUUUGGUGUGAUUUUGGUGGUUGGGAGAUGGUGGUGGUGGUAGUUAUAUCUUUUGGCUGUGAAGGAAGAAGGAUAUCCAAAAGAUGACGAUUGAGCUGAAACUAGGGAUUGAUGACACAUCAUAUGAAGACUUCAUUGCCAUUGCAAUUAAGUUACUCUUCUUAAUUCGGUUGAUUAAUACAAGAUGAGGAGUUCAUUUUAUUAUCCAGUUAAAAGCAAAUUCUUUUGUUUCCAUGUCGAUCAUUUUUUAAAAUUUGGUUCUGUUUUGUUGUUGCCUUUCGAAAUGGGCUGACAAUGUUCACUUGUUUGGCCAUUCUCUUCGAGCAUGGGUGAAGGGACGCUAGAAAGACUGUUAGUGAUAGUUUAUCUGGUCCUUGGGAUUCAUUUUCCAUCCUGAAAUUUAGUUUAAAGACACCUCAAGACGACCUAUUACGAUAAGAAGCCAUUGUAGAAUGUGUGAAGGAUUUAGUUUCUGAUCCUCUGUGUACAUCUUCUUGCUUGUUCUUAAUGUUUUCUUUUUUCUAUCUUUAUAUCUUUAUAUUACAAUUAACAUGUAUGUGCUGUUGAUAAAUAAAUGAUUCAAUUAGACAUCAUCUAGAAAGUGUCAUUGAUUGUUCUGUGGAACUUUACAGGAGUUCGACCU